UACUCCCAUUGUGACUCACUAGUAUAUUUCAAAUGAACUCACUCUGCCUAAUCCUCAGAGCCCAGCAGAGAGCCCUACUGGAAUAUCACUUUGCUUUCUCUACUGGAGUGUGUUUUUCUUUUACUGACAAAUUGAAAUUAUCUUUGAGAAAGAAAUUAUGCCUUUCCCCCCCUGAUGCUUCUCAGCACUAUGCUUGACCUGUAGGGGAUAAAGAAACAUCUUGCUGCAGGGCAAGAGUCCAAGAGGAGCUGAGGUUGGGGCUCCAAGUGGAGGGACUUCCCAAGAAAACUGCAUGUUAAGUGACUCUCACCAUGAUGCUCCUGUGGCCUCAGUUGGCACAUAAAUUUCUUGGCAGAUAAAAAGCCUUGGAGACAGGUGGGGGCAGUGGAAAGUGGAUAGGAAGACUUCAAACACCAGGUGAUUUGGCUGAGUCCACCUAUGGGUUAUCCACGCACUGUAGGAGGAGCUGGGGAAGAAGGACCCUUGUCGCUGUUAAGAGUCCUUUAUUCAGUCUGGGGAACUCAAAACAGCUGGAAUCUCAGAGGUGUGGAUAUCUCUGGAAAUAGAAGUUGCCAGGGCCUGCAACAGAUUCAUUCUCUUCUGAAAUAUCCCUGCUACCUAGGGCCAUACUCACAGCUGUCCUCUGUAUAAGGGUUACUGGAAAACAGAUCAAGUCAAUUUCUAUAAACCUUAGUUUCUUCAUCUUUGAUUUUCACCCUUUAACGAGAGGUAAAACCACCAGGAUAUUUGAGCAGAAGAAAGACAAGACCUGACUUAGCUCUAAGAGAUCCCUCUCACCAUAGCUCAACAAUGUUUGUAUCCUUCCCUGGAUGAAGCAUACUACAUUACACAGAAGAGACUUAUUAAAUAAAUACAUGAAGUUAA